UGAGGAAUAUUGGGCAAUGCCCGCAAGGGUGACCCAGCAACGCCGCGUGGAGGAUGAAUGUCGUAAGAUUGUAAACUCCUGUUAGAGGGGAAGAAUAGUACCGGUUGGACCGGUAUAUGACUGUACCCUCAGAGAAAGCCCCGGCUAACUACGUGCCAGCAGCCGCGGUAAUACGUAGGGGGCAAGCGUUGUCCGGAUUUACUGGGUGUAAAGGGCGCGCAGGCGGGAUAAAAAGUCAGUGGUGAAAUCCUACAGCUUAACUGUAGAACGGCCUUUGAUACUUUUAUUAUUGAUUUCGGGAGAGAGAGACGGAAUGCCAGGUGUAGUGGUGAAAUACGUAGAUACCUGGAAGAAUACCAGUUGCGAAGGCGGUCUCUUGGUCCGACACUGACGCUGAGGCGCGAAAGCGUGGGGA
rnacentral:rRNA from 1 species